AAAGAUUCCAGCAAUAAAGUUGUGCGUUAUUCAACAAAAAUUUACCGCGAAUCACAAUCAAAAGAUGAAACUCAUCACCGUGCUCAUUUUGAUAAUGGCAUUCACUUUGACCACCUUUGUGGCUGAAAGUCAAGCAGAUGGAAUAUUUGAUAAAAUUAGCGAUAGCUUUCAACAAAUAAAAAAUUCUAUUGGAAAAUUGUUCGAUAAUUCGGUGGACACUGUUGAGGAUGCAGUUAAAUCGGCAAAGAAUAAACUAUCGUAAAUAAUUCCAUUAAGAUUAUAAUUUUUUAUACACCAUUAUCAAAAAAAAAAAACAUUGUUAUCCUUCAUGUCAUAUAUAAAAUUUUGAGUGUUUGUUUUAAAUAAAAGUUAUAGAAAUCAUUCCGUUUAAUUGAAA